GAUGAAGAACGUAGCGAAAUGCGAUAAGUAAUGCGAAUUGCAGAAUUCCGUGAGUCAUCGAAUCUUUGAACGCACAUUGCGCCCUCUGGUAUUCCGGAGGGCAUGCCUGUCUGAGCGUCAUUGUCAACCCUCAAGCUCAGCUUGCUGUUGGGUCCCCGUCGUUGCUUUAACGGCGGACCCGAAAGGUAAUGGCAGAGUCCGUGAGACCCUAGACGCAGCGAGCUUCUAGCACGCGUCUGGACGUUUUUCGGGCUCGGUCUUAACUAGAUGAUAACUUCCGAUUGACCUCAGAUCAGGUAGGGGUACCCGCUGAACUUAAGCAUAUCAAUAAGCGGAGGA
rnacentral:misc_RNA from 1 species